rnacentral:rRNA from 1 species
UACGUAGGGAGCAAGCGUUGUCCGGAAUCAUUGGGCGUAAGGCGCGCGUAGGUGGCUUCGUAAGUCCGUUGUGAAAGUCAAAGGCUCAACCUUUGAAAGCCGAUGGAUACUGCGGAGCUAGAGUACGGAAGAGGCGAGUGGAAUUCCUGGUGUAGCGGUGGAAUGCGCAGAUAUCAGGAGGAACACCAAUAGCGAAGGCAGCUCGCUGGGACGUUACUGACACUGAGGCGCGAAAGCGUGGGGAGCGAACAGG